UACGUAGGGGCAAGCGUUAUCCGGAUUUACUGGGUGUAAAGGGAGCGCAGACGGCAGUGCAAGUCUGAUGUGAAAGCCCGGGGCUCAACCCCGGAACUGCAUUGGAAACUGUACAGCUUGAGUGUCGGAGAGGUAAGCGGAAUUCCUAGUGUAGCGGUGAAAUGCGUAGAUAUUAGGAGGAACACCGGUGGCGAAGGCGGCUUACUGGACGAUGACUGACGUUGAGGCUCGAAAGCGUGGGGAGCAAACAGGAUUAGAUACCCCUGUAGUCCCU
rnacentral:rRNA from 1 species